AGAAGUGCGAAUGCUGACAUAAGUAACGAUAAUGCGGGUGAAAAACCCGCACGCCGGAAGACCAAGGGUUCCUGUCCAACGUUAAUCGGGGCAGGGUGAGUCGACCCCUAAGGCGAGGCCGAAAGGCGUAGUCGAUGGGAAACAGGUUAAUAUUCCUGUACUUGGUGUUACUGCGAAGGGGGGACGGAGAAGGCUAUGUUAGCCGGGCGACGGUUGUCCCGGUUUAAGCAUGUAGGCGGAGGUUCCAGGUAAAUCCGGUACCUUUUUAACGCUGAGGUGUGAUGACGAGGCACUACGGUGCUGAAGUAACAAAUGCCCUGCUUCCAGGAAAAGCCUCUAAGCAUCAGGUAACACGAAAUCGUACCCCAAACCGACACAGGUGGUCAGGUAGAGAAUACCAAGGCGCUUGAGAGAACUCGGGUGAAGGAACUAGGCAAAAUGGUGCCGUAACUUCGGGAGAAGGCA
rnacentral:rRNA from 1 species